rnacentral:lncRNA from 1 species
UCAUGGUUCACCUCCCCUUCCAAUUUCCCGCAAUUCCCUUCUCCUCUCUAACUCCAGAGAUUAUGCAUUUAAUCAUGUUAGUAAGCAAAAUGCUUUAAAUGAAAUAUGUAUUUUUAUUUCCAACAGACCAUUCAUCACCUAAGCCUGGAUGAAGUCUAAGUCUUAGUCUUAAGCCACAUCAAAACGUGUCAUCAUCUCAUGGAAGUUGCCAGAAUUUCUACCUCUUUGUUGCAUGUUGGACCAACUCAGCCUAUUUCAAGGAUGCCACCUAUGAAACUUUGUUCUCCUUCUUUCCUCAGAUAAGUAAUUUAUGACAGAGUUGGGCAAUUUUCCCAGAAGGGGACAUCUGGCAAUGUCUGCAGACAUUUUUGAUUGCCACAACUGCAGAAGUAGAAGCCAAGGAUGCUGCAAAACAUCCUACAAUGCACAGAGCAGUUCCUCACAACAGAGAAUGCUCUGGUCCAAAUGUCAAUAGUUCCAACGUUGGGAAACUGAUGUGACUACGUGGUAAGUCGAGAGAUUCAGCAUCAUACUUUUUUUUGGAAUUUUAACUAUCCUCCACCCCACUGCCUUUUGUGACCCCCCCCCCCACCACACUGGAUGUGCUUGGCUUUUUAUUCUUCUGGAUGGAUUUUAGGAUUAGUUUCUCAAGAGAAACGCUUUUCGGAUUUUAAUUAAUUUGCAUUCAGUUAAUCAAUUAAUAUGGAAGCAAUUGACAGUUUUAUUAUAUUGAUUCUUCCUAUUUAGUAUGAUAUAAAUCUAUGUUUAUUUUGGUCUUUUGAAAGGCC